AGAGAUGGAAACAAAGGUUGAUUUUUGGCUUGUCUGACAUUUAGCAUGAAGUACUAAGGAAUAGAUUCUCUGAUAUCUGCUCAUCCAAGUCAAGUCAUGGUUUUAGGCAAGAUUCGUAAACAACACGUUUCUGGUGCUCUGGCUCUCAGACUGUCAUCAAGCAUGUGAAGUUCCUUGAAUGAAAGACGUAAUGGAAACAAAUGGGUGCAUGCUCCUACAUCAAUGUGUGUGUGUCAGUAUGGCCUCCAGGCAUGAUAGAGGACCUUUCAUUUUUUAGCUGAAAUUAUUUUAAUCAUUAUAGUGGUAUUAAAUGGGCUGUUAUCGGGGUGCUUCUUUUAGUUAGAUGGUGAUGGUGAAAGAAAAACAUGGACCACAAAUGUGAUUUAACUGAGGAUCAUCUUUACUUGGUGUGGAUAAGAACAAAGAAAAGACCAAACUUGUGAACAUACAAGAUCACCUUACCUGGCCCUCCUCUGUCAGUCACAGGUUAGGUAUGCAAUAGAUAAUCCUCAGUACUACUACUCUGUUCCAGGAUGGAGAAUUAAGGAGAGGGGAGGUUGGAGGUGCUGCCAGCUCUUUUUCUUUGUCUUUUCUGUGGUUGUAUUAUGUCUCUGUGCUGUGGUGGGAUAAUGAGGAAAUAUUAUGAGAAUAAUGUUCUUUCUCUGUGGGAAAAAAAGUUGUAUAUAUAUAUACAUAUAUAUGUUUACCACUUCAGAUGUAUUAUUUGAAGAGAGGCAACUUGAUGUAAUGGAAGGACCAUGGGCUUUGAAGUUAUACAGACACGAAUUCAA
rnacentral:lncRNA from 10 species